rnacentral:rRNA from 1 species
AGUGAACGCUGGCGGUAGGCCUAACACAUGCAAGUCGAACGGCAGCACAGGAGAGCUUGCUCUCUGGGUGGCGAGUGGCUGACGGGUGAGGAAUACAUCGGAAUCUACUCCGUCGUGGGGGAUAACGUAGGGAAACUUACGCUAAUACCGCAUACGACCUACGGGUGAAAGCAGGGGAUCUUCGGACCUUGCGCGAUUGAAUGAGCCGAUGUCGGAUUAGCUAGUUGGCGGGGUAAAGGCCCACCAAGGCGACGAUCCGUAGCUGGUCUGAGAGGAUGAUCAGCCACACUGGAACUGAGACACGGUCCAGACUCCUACGGGAGGCAGCAGUGGGGAAUAUUGGACAAUGGGCGCAAGCCUGAUCCAGCCGUACCACGUGGGUGAAGAAGGCCUUCGGGUUGUAAAGCCCUUUUGUUGGGAAAGAAAUCCAUCUGGUUAAUACCCGGGUGGGAUGACGGUACCCAAAGAAUAAGCACCGGCUAACUUCGUGCCAGCAGCCGCAGUAA